rnacentral:lncRNA from 1 species
GGACCGGGAGGGGCGGUGCGGCUGUCUUCCGGCCGGCUUUGCGCCGCUGCCAGGGGUCCUGUGGGGCCGGGAGUCGGAGAGGCGGCCAGUGUCCUCCUUCACAAAUUACCCACUGUUGUUUCAACUGCUUUCCCAAGAGGUGGAAGAGGUCUACAUUGACUCCAACACCGAAACGUUCUUGAGGCGGAGGUGUGCGACCUUCAGUUUACUGCAUGGCUAUCCAAAGGGCCUAGUGUCUUACAGAAACAGUGAUCGGUCGUGGUGAAUUCGAUGCUGGGUGCCAAGGAGAUGCCACUGAAGACGCGGCCUUAACUAGCGUCUGAGUCAAUGGGCUCCGGAUGCAACUUCCCAGACUGAGCAGCUGCCUAAAGACCCCAAGAGAGAAUUUCGUGACCCAUGUGGCCGCCGGAAGUCUCAGUUCCUGGACAGCAGGUUCUAAGCGUCGAACUUAGUUGAAAAAGUCAUAGCGGGCUGGAGAAACCACGUGAGUGGCCACGAUCCUUCCUCGCCUCGAGCCACCACAUGUCAUAUAUUUAUAGUGUUUGAUUUGCACAUGCAACAACAGGCAGGAGCUCAAUAAAUGUGUGAGGCGCUAA